GGAGGUUAGCUCAGUCAGCUGAGCACAGCGCUAACAACGCUAAGGUUGCAGGUUCGAUUCCCGUCCACUCCC
rnacentral:tRNA from 1 species